rnacentral:SRP_RNA from 1 species
GGGAGGUCGGCGGUGGACGGGUCCUUCGCCAACCGGGUCAGGUCGGGAACGAAGCAGCCCUAACGAAUUCGGUCCGGGUCAUUGUCCGGCCUCCUAUC